CCCUUAGAUGUUCUGGGCCGCACGCGCGCUACACUGACGAAGUCAGCGAGCAUGUCCUACGCCGACAGGUGCGGGGAAUCUUGUCAAACUUCGUCGUGAUGGGGAUUGAUUUUUGAAAUUCUUGAUCAUAAACGAGGGAUUCCUAGUAAGCGCAAGUCAGCAGCUUGCGUUGAUUACGUCCCUGCCCUUUGUACACACCGCCCGUCGCUACUACCGAUUGAAUGGUUUAGUGAGAUCUUCGGAUUGGCGCCACUGCAGCUCAGCAAUGGGCUUGGUGGAUGCCGAAAAGUUGAUCAAACUUGAUCAUUUAGAGGAAGUAAAAGUCGUAACA
rnacentral:rRNA from 1 species